rnacentral:lncRNA from 1 species
UGAUGGUAGGAAAGAAACGAAAUUAAUUAACAUGUUUGGGAUCCUUAUAAUUAUAACAAGAAACUAUGACUACUCAAACCAGUUCUCACAAAAGAAAAAAAACUAUGAGUACUCAAGACUCACAACUUCUUGGUUUUUUUUUUUUUUUUUUUUUUUUUUUUUUUUUUUGACAGCAAGAAAAUUUACAGACUCAUAAAGACUCCGUAAACCAAGGUGGUGACUCUGUAUCCAUAUGUAUGACGAACGACGGUUGUAUCCUAGCACUGCGUGCCAAGCGGUCCGCCAUUUUAUUGUCCGUCCUCGAUACAUGAAUAACUUCUGAAUUGGUGAAACUUCUUCUCAAAAGCUUGAUAUCCUCCAGGUAACUCUCAAAUGCUGGCCAUUCCUCUGGUUCCGAAACCAUCUUC